rnacentral:misc_RNA from 1 species
AACUUUCAGCAAUGGAUCUCUUGGCUCUCGCAUCGAUGAAGAACGCAGCGAAAUGCGAUACGUAAUGUGAAUUGCAGAAUUCAGUUAAUCAUCGAAUCUUUGAACGCACCUUGCGCCCCUUGGCAUUCCGAGGGGCACACCCGUUUGAGUGUCGUGAAAUUCUCAAACCUUCUUGGUUUCUUGAUCAAGAUGGCUUUGGACUUUGGAGGCAUUUUGCUGGCUUUGCGAAAAGCCAGCUCCUCUUAAAUACAUUAGUGGGAUCCCCUUUGCCGAUCCCCAGGCGUGAUAAGAUAUUUCUACGUCUUGGGAUUUGCUCUGUUCCUUGGGAACCCGCUUCCAACCGUCUCAUGGGAGACAUCGUUCGAGUUUGCUCGACCCACGAACCUUGACCUCAAAUCGGGUGAGACUACCCGCUGAACUUAAGCAUAUCAAUAAGCGGAGGCU